ACGGGUGAGUAUAAUGUGGGAAUCUGCCUUUUGGUCUGGAAUAACACGGGGAAACUUGUGCUAAUACCGGAUAAGCCCUUACGGGGAAAGUUUUAAUGCCGAAAGAUGAGCCUGCACUUGAUUAGCUAGUUGGUAAGGUAAAAGCUUACCAAGGCGACGAUCAAUAGCUGUUCUUAGAGGAAGACCAGCCACAUUGGGACUGAGACACGGCCCAGACUCCUACGGGAGGCAGCAGUGGGGAAUCUUGCACAAUGGGGGAAACCCUGAUGCAGCGAUGCCGCGUGAGUGAAGAAGGCCCUUGGGUUGUAAAACUCUUUCGUCGGGGAAGAAAAUGACUGUACCCGAAUAAGAAGGUCCGGCUAACUUCGUGCCAGCAGCCGCGGUAAUACGAAGGGACCUAGCGUAGUUCGGAAUUACUGGGCUUAAAGAGCUCGUAGGUGGUUAAAAAAGUUGAUGGUGAAAUCCCAAGGCUCAACCUUGGAACUGCCAUCAAAACUUUUUAGCUAGAGUGUGAUAGAGGUAAGUGGAAUUUCUAGUGUAGAGGUGAAAUUCGUAGAUAUUAGAAAGAACACCAAAUGCGAAGGCAACUUACUGGGUCACUACUGACACUGAGGAGCGAAAGCAUGGGUAGCGAAGAGGAUUAGAUACCCUCGUAGUCCAUGCCGUAAAACGAUGUGUGCUAGACGUUGGAAAUAUAUUUUUUCAGUGUC
rnacentral:rRNA from 1 species